GCUCCGGCCAAGAUGAGUCUCAGGUGCCAUCUGGUGUGGAAGCCAGUGACUACAUAGCUGCAAAGGAAAAGAAAAAAGAGCUUGCUGAUCCCUGAUCUACAGGCCACAUUCUAUGCUGCAUGCUUGAAGAAAGUGGACACUCAGUCUGAACACAAGACAUUGGAAGAGCUAUAUAAUAAGUGAUAGCUACAUUUCAGCAUCACAAAUAAGAAUAAUGGCCUUUCGCUGUGACAUUCUGGAAGAUCAGAGUAAACUCUACAGUCUAGGUAGUGACUUCCUCUACUGAGACUAAAAGAAAACUCUUCUGCAUCUUCCUUCUGAAUCCAGGUUCACUUGACUGAAUAUAGACAGAAGAAGACUCAUGGGUUCGUGCUGUGUAUGACUAAA